GAAUUUUUAUGUAAAAGUGGUGGUUCUUCAUAAAUUCUACAUGUUCUUUUCAAAUGAUGACCUCUACAAAGUUGUUCCAGGAGUACCAUAUUGCCUGACAAUCUUUUGUUUUAUUGUUAACUUAAACUGUACUUGAUUCUAGCAUGCCACUAUACUUCUUUGAAGUAAUUUGAGCAAAUUUCUCACUGUUUAGUAAUGUAUACAUUGUUUAAGGUACAUUAUAAUUUCACAUUUUGUAGGUGGACUUCAAUAUGUAUGAUCUACUUAUGCUGCCACAAUGUAAAGGCAACAAUCACUGGGUUUUGCUGUUUGCAAGUGUUAUGUCCAGGACUGUAACCAUUUACGACUCGUUGGGUGGUAACAACAAGGCAUUGUUCGAUUUGUUCUGCCAGUUCAUGUGUCAACGAGCGCAAAUUGUGAAGGAUGGCUUGGAAAAAAUUCAGUUCAGAGUUCAAAGCGCCACCUUGCAACAAACAGCGCCAUGGAAACAGCUGUGGAGUGUUUGCAUUGAUGACUGCCAAAUGUAUGGUCAUGAAAAAGCAUCCCACAAUGUUGCGACAGGCCCAUGAUUCAGUUUAUCGAGACUAGUCGUGAGACGCAGACUUCUGAUUCAUGGAGUGCGGCAAACAUAUCUGUGCGACUCGAUCACUCCACUGUAAAGACCCGCACGGCAUUAAAAUGGAUAUUAUCAAUAUGUGUUGUUGCUCGAAAAUAUGUUUUGUAGCAGGAAGUGCUUUGGGCUCGAUUAAUCUGAGAACUCAACAAAAUAUUAAUAAAAUCCUUCUGUGCCUUUUAGUUCUGAAAACAGAAGUAGCCAGUUGGUAUUACACAUCUCCUAAACAAGUACAGCACAAUAAAACUGAAGGUUUUAAAUCCUACAUUU